ACAGAGGUGGCAAACGUUGUCCGGAUUUAUUGGGUGUAAAGGGCAUGUAGGCGGUUUUGUAAGUCAAAGGUGAAAUGGCCCGGCUUAACCAGGUCAUUGCCUUUGAAACUGCAGGACUUGAGUACGGAAGAGGAAAGCGGAAUUCCCAGUGUAGCGGUGAAAUGCGUAGAUAUUGGGAGGAACACCGGUGGCGAAGGCGGCAUCCUGGACUACUACUGACGCUGAGGAGCGAAAGCCAGGGGAGCAAACAGGA
rnacentral:rRNA from 1 species